rnacentral:rRNA from 1 species
GAUGAACGCUGGCGGCGUGCUUAACACAUGCAAGUCGAACGGUGAAGCAGGAGCUUGCUCUUGUGGAUCAGUGGCGAACGGGUGAGUAACACGUGAGCAACCUGCCCCUGACUCUGGGAUAAGCGCUGGAAACGGCGUCUAAUACUGGAUAUGUGAUGUGACCGCAUGGUCUGCAUCUGGAAAGAACUUCGGUCCAGGAUGAGCUCGCGGCCUAUCAGCUUGUUGGUGAGGUAACGGCUCACCAAGGCGACGACGGGUAGCCGGCCUGAGAGGGGAACCGGCCACACUGGGACUGAGACACGGCCCAGACUCCUACGGGAGGCAGCAGUGGGGAAUAUUGGACAAUGGGGGCAACCCUGAUCCAGCAAUGCCGCGUGAGUGAUGAAGGCCUUAGGGUUGUAAAGCUCUUUUGGCAGGGAAGAAGCGAAAGUGACGGUACCUGCAGAAAAAGCACCGGCUAACUACGUGCCAGCCGCCGCGGUAA